UUUUUACAUUAUUUUAUAGGGGCCGACUGAAGUUCUGGGGUUUAGUCCAGAGCAUCUGUUGACGCACCUUAAAGAAUUCAGAAUCAUUUUCCAAGAAAUUAAUCUUGUGGUUGUUUUGUUUUAAAAUGGGCAACCGAAGUCACCAUAAAUUUAAGGUAGGUCCGCGGGACACAAAAGUCAGACAUUCAUAACUCGGUUUUACCCAAGCUACAAACAUCCUCCUUCUGAUUCUCCUUUCCCCUUCAAGUGCAAGCACUCUCCGAGAAUUGGAAAAUAGCACAUGUGGUAAUGAUCCUUCCGCAGGUUCACCUACGGAAA
rnacentral:misc_RNA from 1 species